rnacentral:rRNA from 1 species
AGUAACACGUGGGUAACCUGCCUUAUAGUGGGGGAUAGCCUUUCGAAAGGAAGAUUAAUACCGCAUAAGAUUGUAGUAUCGCAUGAUAUAGCAAUUAAAGGAGCAAUCCGCUAUAAGAUGGACCCGCGUCGCAUUAGCUAGUUGGUGAGGUAAUGGCUCACCAAGGCGACGAUGCGUAGCCGACCUGAGAGGGUGAUCGGCCACAUUGGGACUGAGACACGGCCCAGACUCCUACGGGAGGCACAUG